AAAAGACUGUGACUUGGGCUGGGGAAUAGGUGGCAGCUUAACUCUUAAAAGAUCUUGUCGUCCUACCAAUGGACUUUGUAACAUCGCCGCGAUGUGCCGCCUAAGCAAGGCUGUUUCCAAGGAGAAUACCGCUCCAAAGUUUUCCCGGGAGGUAUCAGAGCUUGGAAAUGCCGCCCUUGCUUAGUAAAUAUCUGGUGUCCCAGUUCAAAGACUUCUGCCCCCCAAAAGCGGGGCUCCAACCCUGCGUGUGGUCGGGCAACUCGUCCCUUUCGAACAGGAGGUAUUUUUUUGUUCAACGUCCCGUUAAUGCCACCCCGGCAAGGACUGCUUAGGGACACCGGAUCCGGCCGGAGCGGCCACCUCCCAAGCCCCCCGGGCACGCACGCGCCUUCGGGAAGACUCGGGUGCAGAUCGCCUGCAGGAAAACUUCUCCCGGUACCCACACCAGCAGCUCGUCCUCUGGGCGGGGGCAGGUAUUCAAAACAGUCAAUGGCAUUCAAUGAGCUCAGCAGAGCAUCGCUGAACCAGACUACAGUGUCAUAUUUUACAGAUUUCAGCUGCUCAGUUGUAUGGCUUAAUGACCAACAGAACCACUUGUCCAACUGAAAGCUACAGAAUACAAAGGUGUUGCAAUUAUUUUCAGUAGUCUAUUGUUUUUGAAAAAAAAUUCUUGUAACUACUGCCUGUAGGAUUUAAAACAAUUUUUAAGUACCUGCCCAGGAAGAGUAGCUACCCCUUAAGUAUUUUAAAAUGGUGUUUGCCAUAUACAUAUAUUUCAAAUUCAUAUAGUUUUGUCACUUAUAUUCCUUGGUGUACCUUACUACGUGUGUGUUUUUAUAAAAGGACCAUAAACUCCUGAGGAAUGCCUGAGGAAUAUAAGAGGGGUGGGGGGGAAACCUAAUUAAAUACAUACAUUAACACCAAAAUCCUUUCAUCAUGUACUAUGUACAUUUUAUCAGAGGUGAGGCAAAAUUAGCUUCCAAUCAUUACCGAUAUCUGAAAGAGCUACCAGAGGCUACCAGAGUCUCAAUGCUACAAAGUCCCUGCAAAUACUCUCAAGUAAAAUUAAGAAUAAGUUAAAGGCAAGACAAAGAUUUUGAUCUAUCAGCACGUCUGUAACAUUGCUUAUGCAUGCCAUGCCUCAGUUCAAUUUCUGCUGACCUACCUAAUUCACACCUUUAACUCUUCUUGUUUUGGACCAUUUGACUCCUCCUCCUGUGGUCUCCCCAAGACACAGAUUUCAGUAUUUACAGAACAUACCAGUACAUCCUCUAGCACCUUGAUAUGCAUUAUUUAGUACAAAUUCAUUUCAGAAUCUUGGUCAAAACUGAUUUGGGAGGUGCGGAAAGAAGAGAGGAGGCUAAGCUCUGCACUCACAACCAAUGCAAACUAGUACACUUCAGUCCUGCCCUUUUCAUUUCAUUCAUUUACCUAUCACAAGCCUCCCUCUAGUUAAUGCUGGAGUUUUCUUCUCUGUAGCUGCUCCAUCUAGAACACCUUUUCAGUAUCUGCCUACUCAAUUCAGAAGAUCUCACUUGAAGCCUUUUUCCUGCAUUCCUUCUCAGUUGUUUUCCUUAUUUGAUAGCUUCCACAAUACCCUUUUAUACAUUGCAACAAUUACUUAAACUAUUUGGGGAUUCAGCCUGUCUUAAUGUUAUGCACAUUAAAUCUGAAUUGUAUUGUUUCCAUCUUUUUUCUCCCCCUUCCUUUUUGUUUGUUCUCACAUAUUAGAACAAAGAAGUUGUAAUUUGUGCUUCCAAAACUUUUUAUAAAAGAGUGUACUUGAAAUGUUUCCAUUUAUAUUGGGUUUGGAUUUAAACUACUUGUCAACAUCCAUUAAAUAAAGCCAAAACAUGUUAAGCAUUCCUAAGAGAGGCUUCUUAGUUCUAUUUUUAGCACUUAAACAG